AGGGAGACAAAACAAUGAUUUUGAUGUCUGAGUAUUUUAUUCUUAGGCCGAAAUCCUGUCACCUUAGGUCGAUCGGUACCUCAACAUUAUUUCAAAGAUUGAUGAGCAAUCAUCGAGAGAUUGAAAGAGAUGUUCAGUUCCUAAACUUUGUCUAGGUCACACCCCGCAAGGGAAGAGUCCCCUGGGCCAUUAGCUCAGGUGGUUAGAGCGCACCCCUGAUAAGGGUGAGGUCCCUGGUUCAAGUCCAGGAUGGCCCAUUCGGUGUUGGGGGUUUAGCUCAGUUGGUAGAGCGCCUGCUUUGCAAGCAGGAUGUCAGGAGUUCGAGUCUCCUAACCUCCACUGACCGAACUCAAUCUCCAUUGUCCGGUAACUCGGAGGAUGAACUCGAGGGAGUGUGAUUUAGAUGUGUCCACUAGAUUGGACCCCAGCUUCCUGUCAUUCCAAAUCAGUAAGAAUUACGUGAUUGGUUGAUAAGAUGCUGGGCUCAGAUUAAUCGCAAGAUUAAUUUGAUGUCUAGUAGAACCUUGACAACUGCAUAGGUAAGUCUGGAAAAAUAAAGCAUCUUACAGAUGCAUUGUUUUCAGUUUAAGUUCCCGAAAGGGAAUUUAAAUUUAGAACAAUGAAAAUUCUUUUGAGCAAGAGCCGAGACUCUUAGAUGUUCUUUGAUUCGUGUCGAGCGAAUCAGAGUUUGAUUUUGUUUUUAUGAGCAAU
rnacentral:tRNA from 1 species